CUCCCUCUUCCAUGACUGCAUCUUUAGAAACACAAGUGCUUCUCCAGUGGAGAUACUUUGGGUAUUUUAAGAGAGAUGAAUACAGUUAGAUGGGUGUGUGCUUAUCACUUAAUAAUAAUGAUUAUGAUGAUCAUGAUAACAGUAUGACUGUUUGCAGUUUACAAAUCACUUUCACAUCCACUAUCAUGUCUGAGCCUCCCAUCAACCCCAUGGAGUAUUUGUUCUUAGAAAGUAAAUGGAAGACACUUCUCCAAAAGAGCCAUGCAAUGAUUGGGGAUGAUGUUGCCAACAAACAUCCCAAUGACAACUAAAUCAAAGCAGUGACCAAUAGUUGUGUCAUAAUGGAGGCAGCAGCUGUAGAUGUCUAUCGUCAUGUAAAAUAUAAAACUGUGCUUCAAGUCCUAU
rnacentral:lncRNA from 1 species